UACGUAGGGUGCGAGCGUUAAUCGGAAUUACUGGGCGUAAAGCGUGCGCAGGCGGUUUUUUAAGUUUGUCGUGAAAUCCCCGGGCUCAACCUGGGAAUGGCGAUGAAGACUGCAAGGCUAGAAUCUGGCAGAGGGGGGUAGAAUUCCACGUGUAGCAGUGAAAUGCGUAGAGAUGUGGAGGAACACCGAUGGCGAAGGCAGCCCCCUGGGUCAAGAUUGACGCUCAUGCACGAAAGCGUGGGGAGCAAACAGG
rnacentral:rRNA from 1 species